rnacentral:tRNA from 1 species
GGCCCAGUGGGAAGGCGCCGCACUGCGUAAGCGGAGAUCGCUGGUUCGAUUCCAGUC